rnacentral:rRNA from 1 species
UACGGGGGGGGCAAGCGUUGUUCGGAAUUACUGGGCGUAAAGGGCGCGUAGGCGGUUCGCUAAGUUGAAUGUGAAAACUCUGGGCUUAACCCAGAGCCUGCAUUCAAUACUGGCGGGCUAGAGUUCUGGAGGGGAUAGCGGAAUUCCUGGUGUAGCGGUGAAAUGCGUAGAUAUCGUAAGGAAGACCAGUGGCGAAGGCGGGUCUCUGGACAGUUCCUGACGCUGAGGCACGAAGGCCAGGGGAGCAAACGGG